AGAGUUUGAUUAUGGCUCAGGAUAACGUUGGCUGUGUGCCUAAGGUAUGCAAGUCGAACGAUCCCUGGGAUAGUGGCAAACGGGUGAGUAACACGUGGAUAACCUGCCUUAAAGUCAUGAACAGCUCAUCGAAAGAUGGGAUAAUACAUGAUGCUUACAAUUUCUAUCGACUUUGUAAGUAAAGCUCAGGCGCUUUAAGAGGGGUCCGCGUCCUAUCAGCUUGUUGGUGAGGUAAUAGCUCACCAAGGCUAAGACGGGUAGCUGGCGUGAGAGCGCGGUCAGCCACCAUGGAACUGAGACACGGUCCAUACUCCUACGGGAGGCAGCAAUUAGGAAUCUUGCGCAAUGGGGGCAACCCUGACGCAGCGACACAGCGUGGAGGCGGUUCGUUGACUCCUUUUAUAUGGGAUAGAACCAUAUGAAUAAGCACCGGCAACUACGUGCCAGAAGCCUCGGUAAUACGUAGGGUGCGAGCGUUAUCCGGAAUUAUUGGGCGUAAAGAGGCGUAGGCGGUCUAUCAAGUCCAGUCUUAAAGCUUGCAGCCUAACUGCAAAGAUGGACUGGAAACUGUUGGACUUGAGUAAUGCAGGGGUGAGCGGAAUCUACGGUGUAGGGGUAAAAUCCAUUGAUAUCGUAGAGAACACCAAUGGCGAAGGCAGCUCACUAGGCAUCACUGACGCUGAGGCGCGAAAGCGUGGGUAGCGAACGGGAUUAGAUACCCCGGUAGUCCACGCCGUAAACGAUGCGAACUAGGUAUUGGAUUUUGGUACCGAAGCUAACGCGUUAAGUUCGCCGCCUGGGGAGUACGAGCGCAAGCUUAAAACUCAAAGGAAUUGGCGGGGGCUCGCACAAGCGGCGGAACAUGGGGUUUAAUUCGACAGUAAGCGAAGAACCUCACCAAGGACAUCCGGAAUCCUGCAGAAAUGCGGGGGCUUCGGCCUAAGGUGCUGCACGGUCGUCGUCAGCUCGUGGCUUGAGCUGUUCCGUUAAGUCGGGAAACGAGCGCAACCCUUAUCGUCUGUUAAAUUUCUCAGGCGAGACUGCCCCGGUACGGGGAGGAAGGUGGGGAUGACGUCAGAUCAGCGUGGCCUUUAUACCUUGGGCGACACCCGUGUUACAAUGGCUGCUACAAAGGGUCGCAAUAUCGCGAGAUGGAGCUAUCCUUAAAAGUAGUCUCAGUUCGGAUUGGAGUCUGCAACUCGACUCCAUGAAGUCGGAAUCGCUAGUAAUCGUGGAUCAGACACGCCACGGUGAAUACGUUCUCGAGCCUUGCACACACCCCCGUC
rnacentral:rRNA from 1 species